rnacentral:rRNA from 1 species
UACGGAGGGGGCUAGCGUUGUCCGAAGUUACUGGGCGUAAAGCGCGCGUAGGCGGGUUGGUAAGUCCGCUGUGAAAGCCCGGGGCUCAACUCCGGAGGGUCGGUGGAUACUGCCAGUCUUGAAGGUGCUAGGGGGAGAUGGAAUUACCGGUGUAGCGGUGAAAUGCGUAGAUAUCGGUAGGAACACCAGUGGCGAAGGCGGUCUCCUGGGGCAUUCUUGACGCUGAGGCGCGAAAGCUAGGGGAGCAAACAGG